rnacentral:rRNA from 1 species
GACGAACGCUGGCGGCGGGCUUAACACAUGCAAGUCGAACGGAAAGGCCCUGCUUUUGUGGGGUGCUCGAGUGGCGAACGGGUGAGUAACACGUGAGUAACCUGCCCUUGACUUUGGGAUAACUUCAGGAAACUGGGGCUAAUACCGGAUAGGAGCUCCUGCUGCAUGGGGGGGGUUGGAAAGUUUCGGCGGUUGGGGAUGGACUCGCGGCUUAUCAGCUUGUUGGUGGGGUAGUGGCUUACCAAGGCUUUGACGGGUAGCCGGCCCGAGAGGGUGACCGGCCACCUUGGGACUGAGAUACGGCCCAGACUCCUACGGGAGGCAGCAGUGGGGAAUAUUGCACAAUGGGCGGAAGCCUGAUGCAGCAACGCCGCGUGCGGGAUGACGGCCUUCGGGUUGUAAACCGCUUUCGCCUGUGACGAAGCGUGAGUGACGGUAAUGGGUAAAGAAGCACCGGCUAACUACGUG